rnacentral:pre_miRNA from 1 species
AAAGUACUCCCCUGUCCCAAAAUUCUUGUCUUAGAUUUGUCUAAAUACGGUUGUAUCAAGUCACAUUUUAGUAUUAGAUACAUCCGUAUCUAGACAAAUAUAAGACAAGAAUUUUGGGACGGAGGGAUUAUAUU